UACGUAGGGUCCGAGCGUUGUCCGGAAUUACUGGGCGUAAAGAGCUCGUAGGUGGUUUGUCGCGUUGUUCGUGAAAACUCACAGCUCAACUGUGGGCGUGCGGGCGAUACGGGCAGACUAGAGUACUGCAGGGGAGACUGGAAUUCCUGGUGUAGCGGUGGAAUGCGCAGAUAUCAGGAGGAACGCCGGUGGCGAAGGCGGGUCUCUGGGCCGAUACUGACGCUGAGGAGCGAAAGCCGUGGGGAGCGAACAGG
rnacentral:rRNA from 1 species